AGAUCAACUAAACAGUCCCUUUUACAGAUCAACUAAACAAUUCUACACUGCUAGAACACUCACUGGAAAUGUAAAUAAUCCCGAAAUCUACUGCUGUAGCUAAUGUACCGAACAAGGAAUUAAUAUUCUGUUAUGUAUAAAUAAUUCAUUGUCCAUGGUAGAGGUUAUAGUAGUAUAGAGAUGGUCGAGGUUAUAGUAGUAUAGAGAUGGUAGAGGUUAUAGUAGUAUAGAGAUGGUAGAGGUUAUAGUAGUAUAGAGAUGGUAGAGGUUAUAGUAGUAUAGAGAUGGUAGAGGUUAUAGUAGUAUAGAGAUGGUAGAGGUUAUAGUAGUACAGAGAUGGUAGAGGUUAUAGUAGUACAGAGAUGGUAGAGGUUAUAGUAGUAUAGAGAUGGUAGAGGUUAUAGUAGUACAGAGAUGGUAGAGGUUAUAGUAGUACAGAGAUGGUAGAGGUUAUAGUAGUACAGAGAUGGUAGAGGUUAUAGUAGUACAGAGAUGGUCGAGGUUAUAGUAGUAUAGAGAUGGUAGAGGUUAUAGUAGUACAGAGAU
rnacentral:lncRNA from 1 species